CAUAAUUAUGAUUUUACGUAAUGUAAUUGCGAUUUUAGAUGUUAAUUGUGAUGUAAUUGUGACUAUUUCUCCCGACUGCAUUUUCAUGUAUCAGUCACUCAAUAUUGUGACCAUAUAUCACAAGAUAUUUUAUAUCUCUUAAUUGUGACUUUACUUAAUGUAAUUGCAGUUGUAGGUGAUAAAUAUGAUUUUAUAUUGUAAUUGUGACUUUUUCGCAAUUACAUUUUUAUAUCGCAUUAUUAGUAUAUCUCAGUUUUGACUGUAUAUCACAAGAGAUUUUAUUUCUCGAAAUUGUGACAAUGUUUUUCCAAUUUAUAAUUGUGACUUUAUAUCGUAAUAUAGCAGAAGAGAUAUUAUUUCUCUUAAUUGUGGCUUAAUUACAAACUUAUAUAAUAAAUUUCAAAUUUAAUUCUCACAAUUGCGACUUUAUUUCUCACAUUGUGACUGUAUAUCUUAUCUAGAUAGUUGUAUCUCACAACUGUAUUUUAACUUUAUGGUUUAGUUAACUUAACAGCGAGUCCUCCAGCAAUAAAAUCGCUGUCAGUGUGAACACGCCGCGACAAGACAUUUUCUAAUUCUAUAGCAUUAAAAAGCUCCUCCCUCUGUGAAAUCUCAUUGUUUCUCUCUUCAUAACUGUACAUUAAGCACUGUACAUACAUCUGAUUGGCUGUGAACGUGUCAUGUCACUCAGCAGUUUCUCGUUCAGUGUGGGCAAAUGAUCUUGGCAGUGAAUUCAUCACAUCGUGUCCCGUUUGGACAUCUUAUUGAACUUGCCAUUAGAUUCUUUCAAAAAAUGCACAUUAUUUAGCAUAUUUUGUAAAUAUAUAAAUGAUGAAUUAUAAAACGCCUUCCUGACUGCUUACUAAUAUAGCUCCUCACUAUAUUUGUCUAAAUAUUUGUAUAAAUGGAUAUAAAGUAAAAUAUCAGUAUUUUAUAAUGGAGUUGUAGAGAUAUUUAAAACCUGAAGAAACACAUUUAAACCAUGUCCCUCUUUACCGUUGCCUUUGAAUUUCAAUAAUGCUUAAAGUAUCAUUUUAAAUAAUGAAACUGCAAUGUAACAGCUCAAUAAAUGUAAUACACAUUUUAGUUAAAAACUCCAUCUUUGACUGAGCAAUUUAUUCAUUAUAUUUAUAAUCACAAGUUUGCAUGAUAGUCUUUAUCCGGCCAAGUCAGUCAAAUGUAUGUGUGUUUUCCUGUGAGAUGUACCCAAGUGCUUCCUAAUUUUCCUGAAGGCAUCUCUUUUUUUUUCAACCGAUAUGUAGCACAGUUGAUACUUUGUAAUAUGGAUCAUCUACUCUCUUUUGUUUUUUUUACUUAUGCUAAGAUGUAUAUACUUUCAGUAACCCUGCGGAGACAGUGCAUGUAAAUAUGUAUCAGUGCAGAGCACAUACCAUCAGUUUAUUAUUUUUCUAUUUAAGGAAACCUACUUUAACCAUUGAAUCACACUCUUGUGCUGCUCGUGUAAUUGAUUUGUAAACAGCACUGCAUCAUAGUUGCACUGACAGGUUACUCAAUACUAGUCAAAACCUAACUGCACUCAUAUUUUUCAAUAACUGAUAAUACUAAUUUGCACUUGUUAAAUAUGUUAAA